rnacentral:lncRNA from 1 species
UAUCAGUUAUAUUAUCGUUUCUGGGCCCAGUACUAUACUUUUCAAAAUAACCACCUUAUUGAGGUAGCUUUCAAUGUGAUCCUCUAUUUCAGCUAUUGGAUUUGAUAUUGGCUCGGUUAUGCAGGUUAACUCAUUCUUUACGAUCUGAGGGUAUCCUAAUCCUUUUCCACCUAACCUUUAUACACAUAAAUUAUCCUGAUCAACAUAU